rnacentral:tRNA from 7 species
GCGGGGGUGCCCGAGCCUGGCCAAAGGGGUCGGGCUGAGGACCCGAUGGCGUAGGCCUGCGUGGGUUCAAAUCCCACCCCCCGCACCA